rnacentral:rRNA from 1 species
CCUACGGGUGGCAGCAGUGAGGAAUAUUGGUCAAUGGACGAGAGUCUGAACCAGCCAAGUAGCGUGAAGGAUGACUGCCCUAUGGGUUGUAAACUUCUUUUAUAUGGGAAUAAAACGUUCCACGUGUGGGAUUUUGUAUGUACCAUAUGAAUAAGGAUCGGCUAACUCCGUGCCAGCAGCCGCGGUAAUACGGUGGAUCCGAGCGUUAUCCGGAUUUAUUGGGUUUAAAGGGAGCGUAGGUGGAUUGUUAAGUCAGUUGUGAAAGUUUGCGGCUCAACCGUAAAAUUGCAGUUGAAACUGGCAGUCUUGAGUACAGUAGAGGUGGGCGGAAUUCGUGGUGUAGCGGUGAAAUGCUUAGAUAUCACGAAGAACUCCGAUUGCGAAGGCAGUUCACUGGACUGCAACUGACACUGAGGCUCGAAAGUGUGGGUAUCAAACAGGAUUAGAUACCCCAGUAGUC